GGGUGCUCCGAUUGAUCGGUCGCCGAUCAUAAUCGGCCGAUAAUAGCUUUGGGAUGUUUGAUCGGUCGAUCCAGAAAAGCCGAUCAGAUGACGCAAAACUCGCGAGACGAUUUUUUUACGCGCUGCUAAAAAUGGCUUCACCGGUCUGGCAAUUCUACAUGGUGUGCGAAAAAGACAAUACAUUAGCAAUCUGCAACGUGUGUACCAAGCAAAUCCAACGAGGCAGAGAGCACGCAAAACAUUUUAACACCACCAACCUCAUCAGACAUUUGAAGGUUAGUCACGUAAAGGAAUAUGAGCAGUUUUCAAAGUUAGCUAGUGCAAAGAGAGAGCGAGACAGUUCAGCAUCUCAAGCGCCACUCACUCAGCUGUCAGUAACAGAGACGUUUCAAAGACAGCAACCCUACAGCAGGGACAGUAAGAAGCAUAAAGAGAUAUCAGACAAAAUAAAAGGAAUGAAUUUGCCUAGAUCACCAGCCUGUCUGUUGUGGAAGACAAAGGGUUCCAGCGACUCAUGUCCUAUUUAGAUUCACGUUACACUCUGCCAGGGCGUAAAUAUUUCACUGAUGUGUGCCUGCCACAGUUAUACCAAACCAUGUUUACAUAUGUCGACAGCCUUAUGAAGGACAACAUAACAUCGAUUGGUUUCACUAGUGACAUUUGGAGUGCGAGUGUAUGCCCCAUGUCCAUGUUGAGCCUCACUGCGCAGUUCAUUAAUCAAAACUUCGAACUACAAAAAGUUGUUCUACAUUCUCAAGAGUUUUCAGGGUCACACACCGCAGAGGCUCUUGCUGCUGCAUUCAACGACAUGUUUCGAGCAUGGGGAAUCCCGAAGGAAAAAGUGCAUGUUAUUCUAAGGGAUAACGCAAAGAACAUGGAAAAGGCCAUGAGGGAUGCCAAUCUACCCAGCCUGCCAUGCAUGGCGCAUUCACUCCAGCUCGCCGUGAACGAGGGAGUCAUGUCACAACGCAGCAUAGCUGAUAUAAUUGCUUCUGGUAGACGCAUCGUUGGUCAUUUCAAACACUCCCCGCUUGCUUACUCCCGGCUUCAAAGUAUUCAGAAACAACUGGGCCAGCCUAUCAAGAGACUACAGCAAGAUGUACCUACCAGGUGGAACAGUACUGUAUACAUGCUGCAGAGUCUGCAGGAACAGAAACGUGCCCUGUGUGCUUAUGUAGCCGACUAUGACUUACCCUCCAUGUUCACCAGUAGCCAGUGGAAAUUAGUUGAAAAUAUGAUUUCGCUACUCGCCCCAUUUGAAGAGCUCACGCAGCAGAUCAGCUCAUCAACUGCAUCGGCUGCAGAUGUUAUCCAUCAGAGCUUUAACUCGUCUUCUUGAGAAGACAGCAGAGACUGACCACGGUGUAAAAACUUCAAAAGCCACGUUGUUAGAAGCGGUCCAGAAAAGAUUACGUGACAUUGAAUCUGAGCGCCUGUAUAGCAUCGCUACAAUCCUCGAUCCGAGGUACAAAGACAGAUAUUUUUCUGACGCAGUCAAGCCCCAGAUACGUGGACUGCUUUCUAAUGUUCUGGCCACUGGAUUGGAGCAGCAGGAUGGUGAGGCAAGUUGGCUGCAAGCGGGUCUGGACCCCCAGAGAAAGUACCACGAACAGGCUCCUUGCAUGCUAUGUAUGCUGAGUUGUUGGGUGGAGAUCAGGAAUUUGGUGACAGUGACAUCAGCAGCUCAGCAUCAUUGCAAUUGAAUUUCUACCUGUCAGAGCCAGUUAUCGCUCAAAGCGGACAGCCACUUGUUUACUGGCAGAACAAUAAAAGCCGCUUUCCCGCUCUCACACAAGCAGCACGCACCUACCUCUGUGCACCGUGUACAAGUGUUGAUAGCAAACGACUUUUUAGCACAGCAGGGAAUAUUAUUGAUGAGAAGAGGAACAAGCUGUCAGCCAAAAAUGCAGAGAUGCUUAUAUUUAUAAAGAAAAAUCUGCCAUUGAUGCUUAAGUAAGCUUUGGGCAAUCUAAUAAUCUCUAUCCCCCCUCUCUCUUUCUCUACCUCUCUCUUCCUCUCUCUACCUCUCUAAAUGCCCACAAAAUCUGAAUGAGUAUCUCAGAAAAGCUGUUAUAGAUAUACAGAUAUGGAAGUUGUUAGUUAUUAGAUUUUUUUGUUGCUGUGCACUUUACUACCUGUGCUCCUUGAAAAGGUGUUUUACAAUAACCAAUGUCUGACUGACUCAAAACAAUAUUUUGGCUAUAGCCUUUUUUGUUGCAGUUUUAGUUAAAAGUAGCCUAAAGCUAAAUUUAAAGACUCAGAUGUUUUGUCUUAUCUUAUUUUAUUUAUAUAUUCUCCAGGAAAGUUGUAUUAGUCAAGUCCUAAGUUGUUCCUUAUAACCAAGCACAUGCUGCUAAGUUAAUUUGUUGUACAUGUUGCUUCCAAAUAAACACACAGUUGUCAAUUCA